rnacentral:rRNA from 1 species
CCUACGGGAGGCAGCAGUGGGGAAUAUUGCACAAUGGGCGCAAGCCUGAUGCAGCGACGCCGCGUGAGGGAUGACGGCCUUCGGGUUGUAAACCUCUUUCAGUAGGGAAGAAGCGAAAGUGACGGUACCUGCAGAAGAAGCGCCGGCUAACUACGUGCCAGCAGCCGCGGUAAUACGUAGGGCGCAAGCGUUAUCCGGAAUUAUUGGGCGUAAAGAGCUCGUAGGCGGUUUGUCGCGUCUGCCGUGAAGGUCCGGGGCUCAACUCCGGAUCUGCGGUGGGUACGGGCAGACUAGAGUGAUGUAGGGGAGACUGGAAUUCCUGGUGUAGCGGUGAAAUGCGCAGAUAUCAGGAGGAACACCGAUGGCGAAGGCAGGUCUCUGGGCAUUAACUGACGCUGAGGAGCGAAAGCAUGGGGAGCGAACAGGAUUAGAUACCCUGGUAGUCCAUGCCGUAAACGUUGGGCACUAGGUNUGGGGGACAUUCCACGUUUUCCGCGCCGUAGCUAACGCAUUAAGUGCCCCGCUGGGGNGACGCGCGAGACAACACAAGAAGUAGAGCGNGAGAGNGCGAGACGACGACGAGGGAGAG